GUGCUCACUUGGGCAGCACAUAUACUAAAAUUGGAACAAUACAGAGGUUAGCACGGCCCCUGCGCAAGGGUGACACAACAGAUCAAAACUUACAGGAUGCAACA
ensembl:snRNA U6 U6 spliceosomal RNA